GACGAACGCUGGCGGCGUGCCUAAUACAUGCAAGUAGAACGCUGAAGGAGGAGCUUGCUCUUCUGGAUGAGUUGCGAACGGGUGAGUAACGCGUAGGUAACCUGCCUGGUAGCGGGGGAUAACUAUUGGAAACGAUAGCUAAUACCGCAUAACAGUAGAUGUUGCAUGACAUUUUCUUAAAAGGUUCAAUUGCAUCACUACCAGAUGGACCUGCGUUGUAUUAGCUAGUUGGUGGGGUAACGGCUCACCAAGGCGACGAUACAUAGCCGACCUGAGAGGGUGAUCGGCCACACUGGGACUGAGACACGGCCCAGACUCCUACGGGAGGCAGCAGUAGGGAAUCUUCGGAAAUGGACGGAAGUCUGACCGAGCAACGCCGCGUGAGUGAAGAAGGUUUUCGGAUCGGAAAGCUCUGUUGUAAGAGAAGAACGAGUGUGAGAGUGGAAAGUUCACACUGUGACGGUAUCUUACCAGAAAGGGACGGCUAACUACGUG
rnacentral:rRNA from 1 species